rnacentral:rRNA from 2 species
CUAGGCAUGGCGCGUGCUAUAAUGCAGUCGAGCGAACUGAUUAGAAGCUUGCUUCUAUGACGUUAGCGGCGGACGGGUGAGUAACACGUGGGCAACCUGCCUGUAAGACUGGGAUAACUUCGGGAAACCGAAGCUAAUACCGGAUAGGAUCUUCUCCUUCAUGGGAGAUGAUUGAAAGAUGGUUUCGGCUAUCACUUACAGAUGGGCCCGCGGUGCAUUAGCUAGUUGGUGAGGUAACGGCUCACCAAGGCAACGAUGCAUAGCCGACCUGAGAGGGUGAUCGGCCACACUGGGACUGAGACACGGCCCAGACUCCUACGGGAGGCAGCAGUAGGGAAUCUUCCGCAAUGGACGAAAGUCUGACGGAGCAACGCCGCGUGAGUGAUGAAGGCUUUCGGGUCGUAAAACUCUGUUGUUAGGGAAGAACAAGUACAAGAGUAACUGCUUGUACCUUGACGGUACCUAACCAGAAAGCCACGGCUAACUACGUGCCAGCAGCCGCGGUAAUACGUAGGUGGCAAGCGUUAUCCGGAAUUAUUGGGCGUAAAGCGCGCGCAGGCGGUUUCUUAAGUCUGAUGUGAAAGCCCACGGCUCAACCGUGGAGGGUCAUUGGAAACUGGGGAACUUGAGUGCAGAAGAGAAAAGCGGAAUUCCACGUGUAGCGGUGAAAUGCGAAAAGAUGUGGAGGAACACCAGUGGCGAAGGCGGCCUUUUGGUCUGUAACUGACGCUGAGGUGCGAAAGCUCGGGGAGCAUACAGA